rnacentral:rRNA from 1 species
AACGAACGCUGGCGGCAGGCUUAACACAUGCAAGUCGAACGGCUGUAGCAAUACAGCAGUGGCAGACGGGUGAGUAACACGUGGGAACCUUCCUAGGGGUACGGAACAACUCAGGGAAACUUGAGCUAAUACCGUAUACGUCCGAAAGGAGAAAGAUUUAUCGCCCUUAGACGGGCCCGCGUCGGAUUAGCUAGUUGGUGGGGUAACGGCCUACCAAGGCGACGAUCCGUAGCUGAUCUGAGAGGAUGAUCAGCCACACUGGGACUGAGACACGGCCCAGACUCCUACGGGAGGCAGCAGUGGGGAAUCUUGGACAAUGGGCGCAAGCCUGAUCCAGCCAUGCCGCGUGAGUGAAGAAGGCCUUAGGGUUGUAAAGCUCUUUCGGCGGGGACGAUAAUGACGGUACCCGCAGAAGAAGCCCCGGCUAACUCCGUGCCAGCAGCCGCAGUAAAAC